GUGCUCCCUUCCAAUAUGCUGUUCUCUCCUUGCAGGGGCAGAGCACCAAUCACUCAGGAUGAAUCGACCUAGCUAGGCAGUAGUCUGCGGAUGGGAAAGCUGCUCCUGCUAGCUGGAGCACUUUCCUCCUCAGGUGCACAAGCACCACCGAAGUAGAGUGUCUCUCUCCAUUGCACUGCAGCACCAUCACCAAAUAACAGCAUGAAGCGCCAAAGAGUUUGUGCACCACGUAUCCCAACUCUGAAGGAUGUCCAUCAUGGCACCAGAUGAAGUUUAUGUCUCCGAGUAUACCAUAAGUUUCAUGUUGAGAGAAUUGGACAUGGUAGGAAGAGGGUCAACUUUGUUCUGUUGGAUGCAGAGGGCACAAAGAUGGCUGCCACCAUAUAUGAUGAUCAAGUUGAUCGUUUAGAUCUAUUGCUUAAAGAAGGCAUAGCCUAUUAUGUGUCGAUGAUGUCUGUUGAACCAAUUUCAAGUAUGCAACGACGAAUGUUUGCUGAUAAUCCUUAUGAAUGUCGUUUCACUUCCGUCACUCAAGUGUUUGAGAUGAGAAACAUGGGUGAAGGGACAAUCCCUUUCUUUCCUCCCUUCCUUCCAUGUGAUCGGAUUUUCCCAUCCACUCUUUAUAAUGACAUCUAUGUUUAUGUCAUUGGAAUGGUUUUGUAUGUAAGCUCAGUGGCCUUUGCGGAUGGCAUCUAUAAUAGGCGAAUCCCAUUUAGGAAUCUUCUUUUGAUGGAUGACAAGUUUAAUUUUGUGAACAUACGUGUGAAGGACAAAAUGGAAAGUGGCCACACUCGUGCUUGGGCAAGAAGUGCUGAGGAGUGUACAAUUGCUAUUGUUACCAUGCUGAGAGUAAAGCAUGUUGGUAAGUAUGAUAUGUUAGUGGUUGUUUGCAGCUUCAGUUCGUAAGGAUAGAUUGAUAGCUUAUCACCAUAAAUCUUUGAACAUUAUUUACCCAGGAAUUGUCCUUUCCGAUGCAAUAAAUGUUA